GCCAUGCAUGUCUAAGUAUAAGCAAUAUAUACCGUGAAACUGCGAAUGGCUCAUUAAAUCAGUUAUAGUUUAUUUGAUAGUACCUUUACUUGGAUAACUGUGGUAAUUCUAGAGCUAAUACAUGCUAAAAACCUCGACUUCGGAAGGGGUGUAUUUAUUAGAUAAAAAACCAAUGCCCUUCGGGGCUCCUUGGUGAUUCAUGAUAACUUAACGAAUCGCAUGGCCUUGCGCCGGCGAUGGUUCAUUCAAAUUUCUGCCCUAUCAACUUUCGAUGGUAGGAUAGUGGCCUACCAUGGUUUUAACGGGUAACGGGGAAUUAGGGUUCUAUUCCGGAGAGGGAGCCUGAGAAACGGCUACCACAUCCAAGGAAGGCAGCAGGCGCGCAAAUUACCCAAUCCCGACACGGGGAGGUAGUGACAAUAAAUACUGAUGGUGGGUUCUUUUGGAUCUACCAAUUGGAAUGAGUACAAUUUAAAUCCCUUAACGAGGAACAAUUGGAGGGCAAGUCUGGUGCCAGCAGCCGCGGUAAUUCCAGCUCCAAUAGCGUAUAUUAAAGUUGUUGCAGUUAAAAAGCUCGUAGUUGAACUUUGGGUCUGGCUGAUCUGUCCUCCUAAUCGAGCGCACGGAUUCGGUCGGACCUUUCCUUCUGGGGAACCCGAUGCCCUUCAC
rnacentral:rRNA from 1 species